GGAGGGGUAUAGCUCAGUGGUAGAGUGCAUGCAUGAGGUCCUGGGUUCAAUCCCCAGUACCUCCA
rnacentral:tRNA from 1 species